GCAGCAAACGCUCGCCGAGAAGUUUGGAGACACGUUGCUUCAGGAGCUCAUCAAUGUGGAGAGCCUGGCACGUCUUAGCUCUUACUACCAGCAGUUCAAAGAGGUUUUACCUGAUGACUGUCUUCCUCGCUCUCGUAGUCAGACGUGCCUCCCAGAGCUGUUGCGGUUCCUUGGUCAAAAUGUUCAUGCUAGG